rnacentral:rRNA from 1 species
GACGAACGCUGGCGGCGUGCUUAACACAUGCAAGUCGAACGGAAAGGCCCUGCUUUUGUGGGGUGCUCGAGUGGCGAACGGGUGAGUAACACGUGAGUAACCUGCCCUUGACUUUGGGAUAACUUCAGGAAACUGGGGCUAAUACCGGAUAGGAGCUCCUGCUGCAUGGUGGGGGUUGGAAAGUUUCGGCGGUUGGGGAUGGACUCGCGGCUUAUCAGCUUGUUGGUGGGGUAGUGGCUUACCAAGGCUUUGACGGGUAGCCGGCCUGAGAGGGUGACCGGCCACAUUGGGACUGAGAUACGGCCCAGACUCCUACGGGAGGCAGCAGUGGGGAAUAUUGCACAAUGGGCGGAAGCCUGAUGCAGCAACGCCGCGUGCGGGAUGACGGCCUUCGGGUUGUAAACCGCUUUCGCCUGUGACGAAGCGUGAGUGACGGUAAUGGGUAAAGAAGCACUGGCUAACUACGUGCCAGCAGCCGCGGUGAUACGUAGGGUGCGAGCGUUGUCCGGAUUUAUUGGGCGUAAAGGGCUCGUAGGUGGUUGAUCGCGUCGGAAGUGUAAUCUUGGGGCUUAACCCUGAGCGUGCUUUCGAUACGGGUUGACUUGAGGAAGGUAGGGGAGAAUGGAAUUCCUGGUGGAGCGGUGGAAUGCGCAGAUAUCAGGAGGAACACCAGUGGCGAAGGCGGUUCUCUGGGCCUUUCCUGACGCUGAGGAGCGAAAGCGUGGGGAGCGAACAGGCUUAGAUACCCUGGUAGUCCACGCUGUAAACGGUGGGUACUAGGUGUGGGGUCCAUUCCACGGGUUCCGUGCCGUAGCUAACGCUUUAAGUACCCCGCCUGGGGAGUACGGCCGCAGGGCUAAAACUCAAAGGAAUUGACGGGGCCCCGCACAAGCGGCGGAGCAUGCGGAUUAAUUCGAUGCAACGCGUAGAACCUUACCUGGGUUUGACAUGGAUCGGGAGCGCUCAGAGAUGGGUGUGCCUCUUUUGGGGUCGGUUCACAGGUGGUGCAUGGCUGUCGUCAGCUCGUGUCGUGAGAUGUUGGGUUAAGUCCCGCAACGAGCGCAACCCUUGUUCACUGUUGCCAGCACGUUAUGGUGGGGACUCAGUGGAGACCGCCGGGGUCAACUCGGAGGAAGGUGGGGAUGACGUCAAGUCAUCAUGCCCCUUAUGUCCAGGGCUUCACGCAUGCUACAAUGGCUGGUACAGAGAGUGGCGAGCCUGUGAGGGUGAGCGAAUCUCGGAAAGCCGGUCUCAGUUCGGAUUGGGGUCUGCAACUCGACCUCAUGAAGUCGGAGUCGCUAGUAAUCGCAGAUCAGCAACGCUGCGGUGAAUACGUUCCCGGG